AGUGUACUUGUACACUAAAAAUUGGAAGGAUACAGAGAAGAGUAACAUGGCCUCUGCAUGAAUGACUUACAAAUUCAUGAAGUGUUCCAUAUUUUU
rfam:Canis lupus familiaris chromosome 23, whole genome shotgun sequence.